GAGGAAUAUUGGUCAAUGGACGAGAGUCUGAACCAGCCAAGUAGCGUGAAGGAUGACUGCCCUAUGGGUUGUAAACUUCUUUUAUACGGGAAUAAAGUUAGCCACGUGUGGCUUUUUGUAUGUACCGUAUGAAUAAGGAUCGGCUAACUCCGUGCCAGCAGCCGCGGUAAUACGGAGGAUCCGAGCGUUAUCCGGAUUUAUUGGGUUUAAAGGGAGCGUAGGCGGACGCUUAAGUCAGUUGUGAAAGUUUGCGGCUCAACCGUAAAAUUGCAGUUGAUACUGGGUGUCUUGAGUACAGUAGAGGCAGGCGGAAUUCGUGGUGUAGCGGUGAAAUGCUUAGAUAUCACGAAGAACUCCGAUUGCGAAGGCAGCUUGCUGGACUGUAACUGACGCUGAUGCUCGAAAGUGUGGGUAUCAAACAGGAUUAGAUACCCUGGUAGUCCACACAGUAAACGAUGAAUACUCGCUGUUUGCGAUAUACAGUAAGCGGCCAAGCGAAAGCGUUAAGUAUUCCACCUGGGGAGUACGCCGGCAACGGUGAAACUCAAAGGAAUUGACGGGGGCCCGCACAAGCGGAGGAACAUGUGGUUUAAUUCGAUGAUACGCGAGGAACCUUACCCGGGCUUGAAUUGCAACUGAAUGAUGUGGAGACAUGUCAGCCGCAAGGCAGUUGUGAAGGUGCUGCAUGGUUGUCGUCAGCUCGUGCCGUGAGGUGUCGGCUUAAGUGCCAUAACGAGCGCAACCCUUAUCGAUAGUUACCAUCAGGUUAUGCUGGGGACUCUGUCGAGACUGCCGUCGUAAGAUGUGAGGAAGGUGGGGAUGACGUCAAAUCAGCACGGCCCUUACGUCCGGGGCUACACACGUGUUACAAUGGGGGGUACAGAAGGCAGCUACACGGCGACGUGAUGCUAAUCCCUAAAGCCUCUCUCAGUUCGGAUUGGAGUCUGCAACCCGACUCCAUGAAGCUGGAUUCGCUAGUAAUCGCGCAUCAGCCACGGCGCGGUGAAUACGUUCCCG
rnacentral:rRNA from 1 species